rnacentral:rRNA from 1 species
GACAAUGGACGAAAGUCUGAUGGAGCAACGCCGCGUGAGUGAAGAAGGUUUUCGGAUCGUAAAACUCUGUUGUUGGAGAAGAACGUAUUUGAUAGUAACUGAUCAGGUAGUGACGGUAUCCAACCAGAAAGCCACGGCUAACUACGUGCCAGCAGCCGCGGUAAUACGUAGGUGGCAAGCGUUGUCCGGAUUUAUUGGGCGUAAAGCGAGCGCAGGCGGUUUCUUAAGUCUGAUGUGAAAGCCUUCGGCUCAACCGAAGAAGUGCAUCGGAAACUGGGAAACUUGAGUGCAGAAGAGGACAGUGGAACUCCAUGUGUAGCGGUGAAAUGCGUAGAUAUAUGGAAGAACACCAGUGGCGAAGGCGGCUGUCUGGUCUGUAACUGACGCUGAGGCUCGAAAGCAUGGGUAGCAAACAGGAUUAGAUACCCUGGUAGUCCAUGCCGUAAACGAUGAGUGCUAGGUGUUGGAGGGUUUCCGCCCUUCAGUGCCGCAGCUAACGCAUUAAGCACUCCGCCUGGGGAGUACGACCGCAAGGUUGAAACUCAAAGGAAUUGACGGGGCCGCAC